GGACUUUGGCUCUUUCUCUGUUGAGAUGGGACCAUCGGAAACUUUUUGGCAGGUUCUGAUUUGCAUUUUAAUGAGAUCCUUCUGGCUGCUGUGUUGAAAGUGGACUGGAAGUGGCAAAGAUGGAAAGACAGACCAAUCAGGAGGCUAUUGUGGUAAUCCAGGGUAUUGCAGUAAUCCUGGCCUGGUGGAAGCAGAGGAGAUUGUGAGACAUGAUCAGAUUCAGAAUAUAUCUCAAAGAGCCAGUCUUGGUGCUCUGUGUUCACCUGGUUCAUCUGAGGAGCUGCAUCUACCCUGCCCAUGCCAUAGAUCCUGCCCUGUUUGCUUCUCCUGUUGCUGCUAGUGGACAUGAGAAGGACAGAAUAACGGGCUCCCAGAUUCACAAGCCCCACCAAGAGGAUCACCCCAGGAACGCUUGGAGGCUGAGGAGUUCACUGAGGCUACUGCAUCUUGAGACUCAGGAUGAAGACCCAGCUUGGGGCUGUCAAAGGUUUUUUGCAUGUCUGACACCCAUGACUCCACCUGGACCUUAUGGCUCCACCCAGAAGCAAUUCAGCCCAACAGGAGGACAGCUUCAACCCAUUACGAUUUCAUCUCUGCCCCAACCACUCAGCAGCAAGCACCUGUUACCUGUCCACCCCCACCCCUUCCCCCAAACUGCCUUUGAAAAAUCCCUAACCUAUGAGCUUUGAAUAAGAUGAGUACGAACUUCAUCGCCCACGUGGCGUGGCCGGCCUCGUGUCUAUUAAAUUCUUUUUCUACU
ensembl:lncRNA PVT1 Pvt1 oncogene